rnacentral:rRNA from 1 species
AUUGAACGCUGGCGGCAGGCCUAACACAUGCAAGUCGAACGGUAACAGGAAACAGCUUGCUGUUUCGCUGACGAGUGGCGGACGGGUGAGUAAUGUCUGGGAAACUGCCUGAUGGAGGGGGAUAACUACUGGAGACGGUAGCUAAUACCGCAUAACGUCGCAAGACCAAAGAGGGGGACCUUCGGGCCUCUUGCCAUCGGAUGUGCCCAGAUGGGAUUAGCUAGUAGGAGGGGUAACGGCUCACCUAGGCGACGAUCCCUAGCUGGUCUGAGAGGAUGACCAGCCACACUGGAACUGAGACACGGUCCAGACUCCUACGGGAGGCAGCAGUGGGGAAUAUUGCACAAUGGGCGCAAGCCUGAUGCAGCCAUGCCGCGUGUAUGAAGAAGGCCUUCGGGUUGUAAAGUACUUUCAGCGGGGAUGAAGGGAGUAAAGUUAAUACCUUUGCUCAUUGACGUUACCCGCAGAAGAAGCACCGGCUAACUCCGUG